rnacentral:rRNA from 1 species
UGGGGAAUCUUGGACAAUGGGGGCAACCCUGAUCCAGCCAUGCCGCGUGAGCGAUGAAGGCCCUAGGGUUGUAAAGCUCUUUCGCCAGGGAAGAUAAUGACGGUACCUGGUAAAGAAACCCCGGCUAACUCCGUGCCAGCAGCCGCGGUAAUACGGAGGGGGUUAGCGUUGUUCGGAAUUACUGGGCGUAAAGCGCACGUAGGCGGAUCAGUCAGUCAGGGGUGAAAUCCCGGGGCUCAACCCCGGAACUGCCUUUGAUACUGCUGGUCUUGAGGUCGGGAGAGGUGAGUGGAAUUCCGAGUGUAGAGGUGAAAUUCGUAGAUAUUCGGGGGAACACCAGUGGCGAAGGCGGCUCACUGGCUCGAACCUGACGCUGAGGUGCGAAAGCGUGGGGAGCAAACAGGAUUAGAUACCCGGGUAGUCC